UUUGUGAUUAAUGCAACACUGAGUAAGAGUGGAAUCAGACCUAGUAUUUCCAAAAUGUAAAAUAUUAAUGACUGUAAUGAACAGUGUAAUUCUAAUGAAUAACAUUAGGGUGAGAGAUGCAAGCAGUUCGCAAUCUCAUGGCAAUCAAGAGUGACCAGCCUGCCAUCCGUCCACACUCCCAAGACUUUACCAAGCUUCUUGCACUCUGACAAUGUCUGAAAUAGGAGUGAAGGUGGUGGUUGUGCUAUCUAACACAGGUUUUGCAUAAGCCAGGCUCCAAACUGAGCAAAAGAGUUAAUGCCAGCUGAAUUCUGCAGUUGGGUGAUGGUUACUGAGUUUGUUUGUUUGUUUGUUUUUCUUUCACCUCCCUGUAAAUUCAGGAGAAGCUUAAGAAUAAUGUGGAAACUUGUUGAUGCUUUCUCAGUGCAGGCUGGUUGCUAUCUUGUCCAGGCAGGUUCUCAGAAACUCAUUGUAGAGGGGGAAUAUAAAAGCAGGUCUGCAUUAAGCAGCACUCAGCUUAACCUGAAUGGAGGACCUAACAAUGUAAAACCAGGUCAGUAGGGCUCCCGUUGUGGUCUGCAAACACAGGAAACUUUUUGUGUUGGACCAGCAAAAUGCAUUAGUCUAAAGCUGAUUGGGUUUAAGAGAGGAUUAUGCUUUAGACAUGUUACGGGCAAGACAAUGGGAAUGAGUUUGGGAGCUGGUAUUUAGUUUUGUAGGGAUGUUAUUAAUAACAGUCACACUUGGAACUGCGAUCAGGCUGAAAAGUGGUGUCCUUUAAAAAAUAAAAUUAAAACCAAAAUCUUUUUAGCCAACCUUCAGACUGCAGAACUGCUAACCUCUUGUAGCCAACCUGCAAAUUACUUCCAGCCUUGUGGCCAAGUAACCCUGACCCACUGGUGUGAUACCAGCACCUCCCUGUUUAGCACCAGCAAGGCAGAUAGAUCUUUACAGACAGCAGUCACUGGCUGGAGUUAGAACUGUAUCACUGCUUUAUGCUCUCUUAGGGUCUGGCAUCUCUGCUUCAGGAGCUUGUACAUUGGCAAAGCGCUCAACCCAAGCCUGCCAGCUCCAGAAGUGAAUGGUGACAAGCCGUCAUCUUCUGCAGUGCCCUGUCAUUCAGUCAGCUUUAAAAGGAAACCCCAGCCCGUGGGUUAGAAAGGACUUCUGUGCAUUUGAUCAUUGACUGACUAGGGAAAAGGAAGUGUAAUGGGAAUCUUUUUAACCUCUUUCAUAAAGUAAAUCAAGUUCUGUGCUGGUGUGGCUCCAUGAAGGCCACUGGGAUUAGCAGACUUGACUUUGUUUCACUUAAAUGGCAAAGGUAGAUUUCUAGUUUCGGUUGUGCCAUGUGGUUUCCUCACUCCAAAAUGUUCAGUGUUUCACAUCUCCAGCUCUCAGUUGGGUCUGGAGCCUUUAGCUGGAUAUGGGCCCAGUAGUGCUAGACACUGCACAAGCCAUUGUUGGGGAGGUUUUGUGUGUGCUGCUAAAAAAGCUUUUUUAACCUUUUAAAGCUCUUCACAGCUGGCUGGAUCUGCCCUCACCCUUCUGUUGGUGCAUGCCUGGUUCCUUGGGAGCUCUUUUGGCUUGCUAACCCAACGAAAAUUUGUCUUUUUCCUGAUUUAGCUCACCAAAGAGUUAGAGGAGUGCCAGAGUAAGAAGGAGUGUGUGACCUCAGACGGAUUUAGUCCUGUGAACCUAGCAGCUACAUGAAGAAGGCAGGUGAAGGCAGUUUUGUGCUUAUGGCAUAUUGACUUCAAUGGGGAAUUCUGCUUAAAACCUGAUGGCACAAAAGAUAACCCUGUAUUUUUAUGAAAGCAGGUGUAGGCAUUUAUAUUUCCACUGCCAGUCUUUCUCUUCUAGAGAAGCUUUGGAAGAGGAAAAUGAUGGGCAUUCCAGGUUGCCAUCUGGUGUAUUGCGAACAGUCUCAGAGAGUAAGAGGCCAUCUGUUAAUACUUUUUCAGGAAGCUUUUUAUAGAGCAGUGAAGUGGCAAAUCUCAAAAACACGUUGUAAUGACUUACAAGAUCUUGGCAACAAGAUUUCACUGGUGAUGCUUUGGAGCUUCCCUCUGUGGAACCAGUCCUGCUUCAAUGAAGAGUAAUAGCAAGAUCUUUUUCUCUUCAGUGGUUCAGAAUUUGAUGGUGGGAUAUCAAAAGUACCAUCCAGCAUCAGCCUUGAUUGCAGUAAUGGAUGAAGAACUGCUUGUGCUGGAGGAUACCGAAUUAGCAAGGAGCACCAUGUGUUCUUGUGGAUGUGCAUGAGAGAUGAAUAGAAGGAUAUGAAAACUUAUAUUUGACUGCCUGCAGGAUAAUUGUGUUAGUGCAUGAUAAUCCAGGACAUGGUUCAACCGUGGAGACUGAAAUUCUGAAAUGGUGGGGGAGCUGUGAAGUCAUACUAGACAAGUAGCAGAGAUGGAGAAGUCCCACCAGUAGUUUUAAGUUCAGUUCCUCUCCCACCUCCCAUUAAGCAGCAAAGCUCUUCUUACUCCUGGUGUGCUGCAAGGAACUGUGUUGCCUGCUGUGGUUAUGAAUCAAAGUUCUGCUCCAAAUCAGGCCAUUUAAUACUGCCUGGGAUGUGGGUACCACUGCAAUAGUCCCAAGAAACGCUCAUUUCAGUGUGGAAAAAAAUGCUGGACUUGUUGGCUGUCCCCAGUCCAGGUGAAGAGCUCUGCAGAAAUUACCUGAGGACUGAAUAUGGCACUUUUGCCAAAUUAUGAGGACUCGGCCAGGAGAUUGUGCCAUCCUGGGCGGAUGGAGGAAGGGGGAAGAGCACGAUGCCAUCCAUAGCCAUUACUUACUGGCAGGAGGAGGAGCUGGCCCUUCAUUACACUUAAAAUGGAGUUUGAUUCCUGGUAGUGGGUCAGUGGUGAUUAUACUGCUCAGAUAAAUGCAGGAAAGGAAGGACUGCCCAUCUGGGCUGACCAUGUGUGAGACACACAGCCCGACAGUGCAAAUGUUCAGGUAGGUGGAGCUGGUGGACUUCACCUGGCACUGGUGAGACUGGGUCAAACGUGAUGGGUGCUUCACAUGGUAAGAUGGGGGCUUAUUGUCCACAGGCUGGGUUCAGGGAAAACUUUCGUGUGAGGAGAAACUGAAGAGUCUGGCCCAGCUAAUAAGUGGAAUAAUUAAUAAAGGAAAUAUAAUAGUGUAUCAAAGUAAUGAGUAGCAUGAAAGCAGACACUGGCUGCUCCUGUUUACCCUUUCUCAAGCAGAUAUUGAAGCGAGAAGGUGCCACAUUUAAAACCAGCCGAAGACACUUGGGUUUGCAGAAACAAGCCCUGUGAUUAACCUGUCUCAUUUACUGCCUCGAGAUUUAAUUGAGGCCGCAAGCGUAGCAGUGUUCCAGAGAGGACCGGACAUUUACAGCAGUGCGACCACCCACAGCCGCUGGGCUGCUCACUGCGCUGCACCCCGGUGGCAGCAGCGGGGGCUGCUCAGCCAGAACACGAGCAGCCCCCCGGGAACGGGACCGGAGCAUCCUCAGCACCGGGGGCACCCCGCGGGGACGGGACCGGCGCCUGCAGCGCGGCCGCUGUGCAGCAGGGGGCGGCCCCGCUCCGCACCCCCCGCUCCGCACCCCCCGGUGCUGGGCGCCUGCAGGGAGCUGACCCGGGCAGGGCGCUGCAGUGAGCGCACCGGCAUUGCAGGCGUUUUGAGGUCUUUUUCUUUCUUUCUUACAUUUAUUUAUUUGUUUUAACGAAGCUCUGAUUUGCACUUGAUAACUUAGUUAGGAAUCUGCCGGAAACGAGAACUCUGAUGAAACUGAUUUUCCCCUUAGUGAUGUGUUUUGUCGAAAUAAAUUUAAAACAUUUUUAAAAAUUAGUGAUGAACCUCUGCUAUUCCUGCCCCCUGUCGUUUUAUUUCUACUGUUGUCUGAGUACUUUCAGGACCCGAGCAUUACCAGACUCUACCAGGAAUGACAGCUGACUCAGAGGCAAUAAGGCUUGCUGGAGGUACAUUUCAUGAGCAUUAAUUUGCAGCGAGGUCGGCAGGAGUUCCAAGAGUGCAGUAUUGCAGUUGUGAGACCUGAACAGCAACACAAAUGCUGUCUGGGAGGCCAGGUGUCCAAAAUGAGUGUUAACUGCCUUCGGCUGGCUGCUUGGCCACCGGACUCUCUCUUGGUGUGACUCUGGCCAUGAAGGUUUGUGCAUGGCCAUUGGGCUGUGUGGGUACUGGGGUCCCUCCAGUGACCCCCGCGGGCAGUAUCCUGGGCUCUGCAAGAGCAAGCAUGUACAGUAGAGGUAUCUUUUACCUCUAAUCAAUCUACCUCCCUAUCUUCUGCAAGUAUUGACUAACUCUAAGGGCAGCAGCAGUAAAAUAUUGGACAAGGGUUAGCUCCUGAGAGAACGUUAUGUCGUUAUGCUGUCUUUAGACGAAGACUGAAGACAGUAAUCAAAAGGGCUAUUUUUAACCAUGGGUUGAUUUAUUUGUUUUUCUUGUACAGCUAUUGCACCUGGAGCCACUGAUGAUGGCUUGAUUAAUUCUCAGUGAUUUUUUUUUCUCCACCUUCCUCCCCACGACUUUUCCGACUGGCAUAAAGUUGUGCUGUGGCAGGCACAGUCACUGGGUGAAGAUAAGUCCCCAGAGAAACUAACCACUUUCAGGUUGCAACUUUGAGCCUGCUCUGUGCCAAGCAUCAGGAGUGACUUUUUGUCUUCAAAGCUGGAGAGACAUUUCCCACCAGUGCAGAUGAAGGUGCCUCUUCCCUCCAAGGCCACAGAAGAGCAGAGGGCAGACAGUGAGCUAAGGUCUGUUCUCACUCCUGAAGGUAAAAAGCUGCUCGUUUUUGUCUAUCUGCACAUGUUCCUUAAAAUCUCAUCUUGAGGGAUCUGAUCUGAAGUACUUGAGUAAAUGGUAGAUAGGCACCACGGAAAGGAGCUCAAGGGCAGCUGCAGGAAGCCCUAGGUGUAAAUACAAGUGAGGAGGAAAAAGAAGGACAGUCUAUUUCAAAGUGACAGAAGCUCUACAGGACUUCCUAUAAAGAAAAUACAUGUUCGCUAUCCUCAUUUUUAUUUUGUAGCUCUUGUUUCCACCUCGAUUUGGUCAAGUAGAGGUUUACUUCCAAAGUAGCUGUACAGCUAUUCCCUUGUUCCUUCCCCCAGCCUGAGUCCUGCUGCCUGUGGACAGUGUGGUUGUUGGCACGUCUAAAAUGCUUCGUUCAUGCCUCUUCCCACAAGUAACACUCGGAGCAAUAUCACCCUGUGGCCAUGUGGGUUAAAUUUGGAACAUCACCACAUGUGCCCUUAUUUUAGUUUCCAGACAGGCUGUGCAGGUACUAUGUGUACUUUUGAGGUGCAAGCCUAUAAAGAGAAUGCAGCAGAAGCCACUAACCCUGGAUCAUCUGUAAAUAAGGAAAACUAUAGUGUGUCUUUUUUUUUUCUUUUAACAUAUAUAUUCUUUUGGGAGGAAGUUUAUCUAUAAAUUGAGAACAUUAGGGGUGUUUGCCUGACUACAGAUACACCUGGCAGUUUUGUUGUGAUGGAGCAUAGAUUGCACCACGAGUUCUGAAGAGGCUGCUCUUUAAAGAGGUAAAAUACAAAACAACAGGCACAUCCGUAUAAUAGAUCAUCAUUUAAGGUAACACAUUCUGCCUGACAUGUAGUGCUUUGCACAUUUUGAAUUGUCUCCUGCCAAAAUAUUCAGGCCUGCAGGGGGAACCCCUGUUGGGAACACAGGACAGAUGGAUCUGAAUCCAGUCAUGAAACUCCCUGGGGCCAGCAGUGUGAUGUUAAUGAUCACACCACAGUAAGAUGUAAAACAUACCUUUGUGCAGCUCAGUGUAAACAGCAACUCCGGUAUUAUGAUGUAAAUGAGAAACCAGCAAGGGAUGAUGUGUGAAUGGAAACACAGCAAGGUGCUCUGUGAGGGAGCAGAAAGUACAGUGCAAGGGGAAAAUCUGCACAUUGCAACUGGAGGUGGAAUUAAAAUGUGGACUCACUUCAUUGUAGAGAUAAACUUUAAAUACUGCUUGGGCUGGUGGAGAAGGGAGGGAACUCUCAGAGUUCCUCUAUGAGUACCUAAUCCCAGCUGAGGUUCUGGAAGGGCAAGGGACAGGUUACAAUUAAGUUUAGGUUCCUGCACUUGCCAAUUAAGAGCUAGAGGAUGGGGCUGGGACCAAAUGGAAGAUAAAAGCCAUGAAUUAGCCUUAUCCCAACAAAAAUGUGGAAGUCAUCAGCCUGCCCUCCUGCUCAAAGCAGGGCCAGCUUUGAAAUUAGGUGGUGUUGGUUAGGACUUUGACCAGCUCAGGUGUCUCCAAGGAUGGACGUACCCUCCUGGGAGGCUUGUUCCUGUGUUUGGCCACCUCCAUUGGGAAAACAUUUCCUGUAGCAUUAAAUAGGUCUGAAAUGACUCCAUGGAUGACAGGACUGAAAACUGGAAACUUGACAAUGAGCAAGCAUUAAUGUGGUUUGUGGGGAGGUAUCCAAAGGUACAAAAGGUCCAGUUGGGUCCUCAGCUUUAUUUCAGAAAUCCACGCUGCCCCUUUGAAGCCCCUUCCCAGUGAGGACAGUGGCAGCUUGCCUGUGAGACAGGGUUUCCAUUGGGCCCUUGUAAAGCAAGGCCCAGUCAGAAAGUGUGGUGUCACCAAUGUAAUUUAAAAAUGUGCUGGGCAGCAGGAGCGGAGCUGUGUCUGCUGCUGAUUUUAUUGUAACGGUGAUGUUCCUCUUUGUCCCAGAGUUCCCCGUCCUCUUCCUCUCAUCUCUCGCAAAGAAGUGAAGGGCUUGCUGGGAAGCUGAGCUUGAAGCUAGAGGAGGUCAUACUUAACUAACCUCCUGGAGUUCUUUGAAGAUAUUACUGCCAGGCUAGAUAAGGGGAAUUCAGCAGUGUGCUUAGAGUUUCAAAGCGCGUUUCACAAAGUUCCACAUCAGAGAUUAAUAGCUAAGGCAAAAGGUAAAGGAAGAGGAGGUAAUAGAGGCUGUUGGAUCAAAACCAGCUCAAGGGCAGGUAUGAGACAAUAAGCACAGAUGAAAAAUUUUCAAGCUGGCAGAAGGCUGUUCUUGGGACUGUUUCAGGACUUCUGUAACGCAUAAUCCAGACAGCACAAAGGUGCCCCACCAUGCUCAUGUCGCUGAGGCAGCCCAGGUUUGGCACCACCAGCAGCAAAACAUCCUAGCUGUCCCCCUUCUGCCUGCCCAGCCAGGAGCCCUUUCACGUCUCUCUUGGGUGGGGGCAGUUUUUGGCACAAGUCUGCAGUCACUGGUGUCCCUGGGGCCAUGCCGUGCCAUCACGCUUCAGAGAAGCCAGUGUAUGUAUUCUUUAGGCUUUGAAAAUAGCGAGCCGGCCCCUCAGCAGCAUGGUGCAGCUGUGAAGUUACUCUGGCUUUGCAAAGGGAAGACAGAAUUUAGUUUGAGGUCUCUCCAAAACCAGGCACAACCUGAGCAGAUUCGCCAGCGCCGAGAUCUCUCCGGUGACUCUGCCAACAAAUGGCAAGACGGAGUUCAAUGCAGACAAAUGUAAUUAAUCUGCAAGCAGGGAAUCAGACAGGGGAAUAAGUGGUAAACAGAGCAAGCGUUCAGCAGAGGGAUUAAGAGAGGGAUUUGGUGGUGUUGGAGGUUCGUUUCUUUUGGAAAAAUCAUUGGAAGUGUCUGCCUAGAUCACAGCUGUAGUAAAAGGGCAAGCAGGUGACACGGCUGCGUUAGUAGAGGGACAGGAUAUAAAACAAACGAGGCAAUAUGUCUGUUACUGUAAAAGGCAUCAGAUCUCACCUGAGUAUUGUCAGCAGUGUUGGCCACUGCCAUGGUGUGCUGCAGUGUACGGCAACAAAGAGCAGCCCUGCAGAAUCCGCGUGUGAACAAAGGCGAGAGCGCCGGGUUUGUCCUCGGCAGGUUCCUGCCCACCCCGUCCAUUCAUCAUCUGAAGAGGAAAUCUGAGGAGCAAAAAGACUAUCCCUCUAAGCUCUAACAGAGGUUAGGAAUUUUGAAGUCGGCUGUAUUUUUCCCCAGAGUAUUUCUCUGUCUGGGUCUUUUUCUUGCUUUCUUCCCUCUACCUCUCCUUUCUCUUUUCAUUGUUCCCCUUUCAUUCCCUCUCUCCCUCCUACCACCAGUCUGGGUUUCUUUGUCUUUCCCUAAUAUAUUGCUUCUCCUCCACCCCUGCCCAGGAACUGAGACGAUUUAGUCACCUUGCUUCUUCAGACUCUUGAAGGAGCCCAGCCUCUGAUGAGGGGUUGCUACUUUGAGUUUUACAUGCUGUGUGGCAGGGUGAACAAUACUUUUUUGCCCAUAGAUUUGGAUGGAAAGAAAUCUAAGUUGUUGCUGUGGAAAAGGAGAAACUCAACAACCAAACUGAAGGCAGGACGUGGAAUAUUACUCAAAAUGACCAUCAAAACCCUUAGAUGUGGCUUUCCUUCCACACUCAGAAGAGUUCACAAUAGUACAGCUGGUUCUAAUCAUGCAAAUUCCACACCAGAAGUCUUCCUUUGUUUUCACUGGUGUAAAUUCAGAGCAAGUUCAGCAAGUUGCUCUGAAUUUACCCAGCUAUGGAGGACAGCUGAUUUCGUUUGAGCUGUACAAGAGACAAUCUUAUUUUUGCUUUCCCUAGGAUUACGGUAAGCUUGUCAAUCAAUGCCCAGAGGCAGUCUACACGACACAGUUGUGCCAGAUUAGGAAUGUCAACUGUCUCAUUUGCACAUGGAAAGACGCGGAGGGGGAUACUUGCACACAAAUAAGUAGCUGGUGAUGGCGCUGGUUACAAGCGAUCGUGGACUGAAGACUGCUGCCAGAAAAUUCAGAGCUCUUUUUGGAAAAGGUGGCUCAAAGCACAGCGAUGGAAGAACGAUGGUGUGCACCAGCAGUUAAGAACAACAGCUUUUGCUCCCUUGCACUCCAUACAAAACAGCAGCAGCAGCCCCGCAGCAUGUCUACAUGCCGAAGGUCCGUGCCUGCUCCUGGGAGUUACCUGAUGAAUAACUCCAUUUUCCAGCUGCUCGGCUCCAGAAGAAAGUGAUCUCCUCCUAAGCAUCCGUUCCUCACAUUUCUGCAUGGCAGUUACCUGUGGGCUGAUUCCUGAUGCUCCUCCUCAGGGCCAAGGCUGGGACCAGCCUGCGCAGCGAGGCACCGAUCCUGCAGCUUGGGGUGGCGGCUGGGCAGCAGCGUGCUCUGCAGACAUCUGCAAUGCCCUGGCCGUACCCUGCAAGGCACGCAGAUACACAGACACCCACGAUGAAGUCGCCAGGGCCCUGGGCAAACAUCAGGUACACCCGGACACAGGCGGCAAUAGCAGACAAGUUCUUAAAAAAAGUCCUGUCACUCCCACCGUUUUGCUGGGAUGAAUGAAGCCAGUGCCCAGUUCAGGCAUGGAGAAAGUGUCCAUGGGCUUCAUGGUCGGAGCAGCAAGAGCCCACCAUCGCUGUGACCAUCAAUAAACCUUCAUGAAUUAACCUGUUGAGAGGAGGGAUGGGAGAAUCUUACAUUGCAGCUGUAAGAUUAAAUGCUGCUGUUGAACCCUGGACAAUUUCCUGCCACUAAUCUUUUGGUCUGACUAAUAUAGCUAGAUAUAUUACUCAAACCUUUCAGUGAUGGAAAUCAUACCUGGAUCUGGUAAGCAGAGAGAGCAGACCUAUGUCAUCCAUGGAUAUGUGGCUGGGGAGAGUGCAGCUGGCCUGCAGUGGCUAAACCUUUUAAUUCUACCUGGGGGAAUCUGAUUGAGCAAGGGAAAGGCGUAAGUCAUCCACACCUGCUUCAGAGUGGCAGCUGCACUGGAGGGCUAUCUUACAAGGCGACCUGCUCUGAAGAUGGGGAAAGUGCCGAGCCAGGAGGAGGUGUGCAGAGGAGGACGUGGUGGUUAAAGCACAAACGCUUCACUCAUACCUUAACCGGCGCUAUCUCCUGAAAUAAGAGGGCUGCAGUUUCCCAGCGCAGCGAUGACCUGACCCCGGGGAUGCUCUUGGCAGGGCACCAGAGCUCACACAGCACCCGGUGCUGAGCAGCGCCCGCAGAGCUGCCUCCACCACAUCGCUGCUGCCACACUCUUCUGGGGAGCACUGCGAAGACAAAGCUGGAGAGCACUCUGUCCUUGCUUAUGGGCUGCAAACUGCACCAUCAGGAGCAAAGUACUAUGUCCUCAGUAACUACCCACUUAGAUGUGCAUGAAGUGGAGCAGCCAUCUACUAGGACCAUGUCUUGGAUUUUGCAGCCAGCAAAUAUUCAUCUGUGGGGCAUAAGGUCCCCCUCUGGGGCAGGACACAUGUGCUGUCAGUGACCACCGAUGCAGCCAGGAGCCAGGCCUGCCUACGGAGAGCUGGUCAUUUAAACAAGCAUCACUAGGUCCUGGGGGACCUCUGGAAAUGUGGGCUGUCCUUUUCCUGGCCACCCCAGAGAAGACGAGGUGCUGUGAUGAAGAAGAUGUGCUGUGACGCUGAAUGAGCCAUGGGAUCCCGCCGGCUGUACGCGAGACCUGAACUCAGUCUCUUCUGACUUCAACAGCCACCACCAUGGGUUCAAGCUGGUGUAAGAUGAUCAGAAUCACUGAUCGUGAAAGACAACGGAAAUAGAUGAAAUAUCUCGGAAACAGAACAGCUAAAGUAAAGCUACCAAGAGGCAGGCGGGAACACAACACUGUAGAGAGGGCGGCUACUCUGUAAGUCAGGCAGAAACACUUCGUGUUCAGGAGCAAGGAAGUUUCAAUAGUAAAAAGGAGCAUAACUGAGCUUUUAGCCUAUACAUAUAGGCUACAAAAUAUCAAGUGAUAUCUCUAAAAUAUGUCACUGCAUCUAGUGAAAUAUAUAUAUAAGUACAUAUACAUAUUUCUCUCUCUAUAUAUGUCUAUAUCAUUAGACAAUACAGAAUGCCUGUAUGCAUUGCAGUGCCCCAUGGUCUGGCUAUGUCACGGAAGUACAGAAGUAUUAGAAAUAGACAAAUUGAGCCCUCCCAACAUUAACAAGACUGGUUUGUGUUGCACCAAUAAAACAGUACGUAAAGCUGGAAGAUGCCAUAAGGACAGGGGACUGGUUUCUCACCUGCUUCCCCUCUGCCUCACACCCACUGCUCUCUGCUGGGGUCAGGGAGGUGCUGCGGGAGGCAGAGGCCCUUUGCACGGACACCUUGGUCCCUGGGCCUGCCCACAUGUACAGCAUUUCCACACUUGGCUCAAAAUAACAAAUUAAUUUUCUUUGGUGACCUGUGAAAUAUUUUUCCUUUCUUAAAAGUUCAAGUCGCUGGUCUAUUGCAGAUGAGUUAACCUUGUGAAAAACGAUACGCUGACAGCACAGUCAGAAGUGACACUGACUUCAGGGAACUGUUGCUACUUUCUGUCAUGCCUUCAUUGCUUGCAAGGAGACAAAAGAUGCAAAUAGGACUACACACAAACCACAGAGGAACACAUUAAUAAUCCUACCACCACUCAACACUGGUAAGAGCAUUUCCUCUUUAAGGCUACUGCAUCAUUUCUCCUGUGCUAUGAAGUAAUGAUCACAUACUUUUGUUGCAAAUCCACAUCCAAAUCCACACAUAUGUGGGCAAACACAUGUGAGUGUGCCUCAAUACUGUGUGUAGUGGAGUUUCUCCUGAACUGAAAGCAAAGAAGCCUAGUAAUACCUAAAUCAGAAUCAUUUACUGGCCCCAUUUCUUUCAGUAUUUUAAACUGCACUCCCAAAAUUAGUCAUUGGAUUUAGACAGCAUUAAAUACUGAUAAAAAUGCAAUGAAAAUAUUUCUUCCAAAGUACCUAAAAACUUGUCAGAGGGUCUAAACUAUUAUAAUGGAAGAACAUCAUAAAAUCUGUGGAAUUCAAAAUGCAUAGAAAAUAAGGUCCAGAUUCAAUUUUCUCAGAUUUUGUUUCUUUAGGAGGAACAAGAUCUUGACCUUUAUUCUUCAAAAAAAUGCACACCACUGAAAUCAACAGACCUGCCCUAUCUUUCAAAGGAGGUCAUCGUGACACAGUAUAUUAAUGGAAGCUAUUUAAAUAAUUAAAGGUCUGAAGACCAUAUAAGAAAAAUUGAAGUGAAGCUAUAAGAAGCAAGCUGGGAAGGUUACCACCAACAAUAUCAUCAAAAAAGCUGUAAGCUAAACCAGAAUGGCAAUAAAAUAAAAUAAAAUAGCACAAAUAUUAGGCCAAACCUAGCUAUCCAAACUCAGCGUGAGCUGUUUACAUUGUUAGUUUGCUAGAAUGGGAAGUGUGCUUUGCCCUUCCAAAGGAGCCAGUGGAGCACAGCUGCAACCAGUGAACAACAGGAACACAGCCCAUAUGGGAUGCAACGUCUCAGGCUUUCCCUUUGAGCCCUGCUCUCAUGGACAAAGGUUUCUCAACAUGCAUCUCAUGGCUACACAUAGUCACUGCAGUCAACGCAGGACAUUCUGCCUGCACGUUGUCAAAUACUUCACUUAAGACCUGCUACAGCUCUUGACAUGGAGGUUAAGUGCUAUGUAAAUGCCUCACUCCAGCACUUAGGACUUUGCUGCCCUCACAUCUUGUACUGAUAGAGCUCCCAAAUGCUUGUGUGUAGCCCUCUGCUUGCAUGCUCCCUUCACUGCUGAGCUAUGGAUAUUGCUCCAAACCUCCUGAAGCAUGGGACACAAAUGACAGCCUUGUCAGCUCUGGCAAUGUUUUAUGAAGCUUGGUGUCCUUCUUAAAGCCCAGCUGCAGACCGAGAGAUUACAUCAGAGUCUCAGCCUCUCACUAUUAAAACCAAAUAUGUCAUUUCUGGCCCUCAGCAUGCUUGAAAAAUGCCUGAAAACAUGUCUUGAAAUCAGCUUCAAAGCUCAUUAUCUGUAAGGCAAUGAAGGAACCAAAAAAAAAUUAUUAAAAAAAAAAAAA